UAUAACGUAUGUAUGAUAGUUUACUAAUGAACGGAUUGAACCUAUUACACACAUUACACACAAGCAAUAUAAAGUGACAUACGGGUGUUGAAUAUUCAAUUUAUGAUAUACUACUAGCAAUAACAUUGACAGUGUAUGAUAGUCAGAACAAAUAUAAUCGUUGGGUCACUUUUAAGUGAAUAAUGAAAAUAACCUUGUAAGUAACUAAUUAUAUGAAGUCAGUUCAUCAAUUACAUGAUGAAAUGCAGUAUAAAAAUGGUACACAAAUCUAUAGGCGUGUCGUGUAUUGAAAGAACAUCAGUUAAAAAAAUCGGAACAUCCCUUUAUAGAAGAAAUAUAUAUUAUAUAGACGUAUUUAAAAAUAAAUGUCUUCAUCAUUAA